rnacentral:lncRNA from 1 species
GGGGUGUGGAAAGAGAGGGUGCCUCGUCAUUCAGAAGAGAGAGGAUGAUGGCACCCUUGGGGUCCGGCAGGACUUUAUUUAAAAGGGGUCCUGGAAGGCUGAUAGGAUUUGGCUGAACAGAAGGGAUAUCUACAAGGAGACACGUUUAGGAAACAUUUUGGAAAGUGCCUCACCAUAACAGCUGGAACUCUGUGGUUUUAUGGAGUAAACGAACACUGCGACCUUGCAGUAAGUGGAGGGUUUGUGUUAGCAGGAAGCUUGAGAAGGGGCUGUACGGGUAGAAUCUCCAGCCUUUGGCUGGUUAGGAACUUUUGAUAGUCGUUGUUGGGCAUGAUCUGAACCAAGUGGUAGAUGAGAAACUUGCGUUGAGCUGAGACAUAGUUGAGGGAUUGGAGGGGGAGAUCAGAAGCGUGAAAACCGUGGCUAGAGUGGUUGUCUGUGUAAAGUGAGGCAAGCUGAGACCGGCAGGGCCGAGUAGGGCCGAGCCGAAAAGGUAUUGGGAAGAAUCAGCAGGACAAAACAGUUGAGAAUGACUGGUGUGGGCUGCUGGGAGGACCCAGUCCCAAGAGGUCAGGCACUGCUCUUCCAGGCAUGUUCCAGAGAGGCUUUAAAUGAAGUAAAUAAAGAAGCUUCUGUUAAAAUGUUUGAUUAAAUACAUAUAGUGAGUGCUUUUAAAAUGCUGAUGGGGCAAGAUGGCAGAUAAUAUAGCAGUUUUAGGAGAGUUUAUUGUUUGAGGUUCUGGUGUAGAGAUUUGAUUCCCAGCACAAGUCCCAGUAAGUAAUGAGCCAUGUAAUAAUAGGGCUCUGCUCUUAAUUAUGGUGAGUACUCUCAAUGAAAUCGAAUUUUCUUAGUACCAUCCGUGGAAAAAAAUUUAACUCUGACUUUACAUAACAGUCCCAGAUAGAGUGUGAACUCUGUGGAUAUGGGAUAGUGACAGAAAAAAAGAGGAAACAAAUCUCCAAUAUUUGCAGAAAAUGUAAGCUCAGAUUAUAACAUAAAUAUAUGAGUGUUUGUGGCGGCUCUGUUGAAGUUGUUACUAGCUAGACUCUAAACCCCAGCACAAACCCCUUCCAGAUUUCAUCAUCACGACUGGUUCUCGGUUAGAUUUUGAGGAGUUCCCAUCGUGGCUUAGCGGAAACAGAUCUGACUAGCAUCCAUGAAGAUGCAGGUUCAAUCCCUGGCCUCACUCAGUGGGUUAAGGAUCCAGCAUUGCCGUGAACUGUGGUGUAGGUCACAGAUGUGGCUCAGAUCUGACAUUGCUGUGGCUGUGGUGUAGGCUGGCAGCUACAACUCCAAUUCAACCUCUAGCCUGGAAACUUUCAUAUGCCGUGCAUAUGGCCCUAAAAAGAUGAACAAAACAAAACAAAACAAUUCAGUUUUAUUGAAUUGCUUCUGCAAAUGAUAGUGGGGGAAGGGGAGAGAUUGCUAAUGAAUACUUUUCCUUUGUUUUUUUUAAGACUUUUUGGGGUAAUGACCAACUGUAUUUUCAGCUAGUCAGCCUGUCAUGUGGGUGUGGAAUGCACCUGCAGGUGUGAGGAGAAUUAGGGGGGUGAGUCCAUUGGAACAGUCCCCAGCGAGAUGCCCUGCACCAGGUUUUCUGUGGGCACCUGUAGGAAUGGGCAGCUCUCUCUCCCUGAGGCCACUGGGCACUGCCAGUAAGUGCCACCAGCCACUUAGGAAGAAAUCAUGUGUGAUAUUUAUGAUGGACGUAUGAGCGCUAGGUAUAACUCCUGGUUUGCCUUUCACAGGUCGGGUGACCGUCUGCAGAUCCUAGCCAUUGGAAAGAUGAGCGUUAUAACUCACAGGGUCAUUCUGGCCAGCCCACGGUGCCUGGUUGGCAUGUAGAGAAUGUAUUAUUUCUGUUCUCUUCUGGGGGCCUCUGGAAAGCAGACCGAGGUUUAAAAAGAUGUUGUCAAAAUUCUUUCCUUUGAAAUCAAUCUGUGUUGACUCAUAAUUUGAGUACUCCUUUAGUACAGUUAUUAAAUAUAGUUACAUAAUUAGCUCACACACAUGCCUAUUUAACCUGUGAGGGCAGAAUUUUGAUUAUGUAGGUCCCAUGGCUUAAGAAAAUGGGGUUUUCUCUUCAACUUGUCUUUAAACUAGAUCUCAAAUUAGCGGACAUUGAUUUCAGAAUUCAGCCUUUAGGAUUCCUCAGAAGUUUUUCUUGCCUUUCAUUUGUCGCUCCCUUAACAUCUCCCCUGCUUUUUUUCAUUUGCUCUUUUCAUGUUGUCAGGGUUUUUUGUUUGUUUUUACGUUUUCUCUCCUGAAACUUUGCACUCAGAGAUAGGAGUAAAGGCCUAUUUUGAGGCAGUAGGAUGGACAGUGUGCUUUCUUUCAUCUCAGUGUAUUAUUGUUUUGCUAACAUGCCUUUUUGCUCUGAAGAUAUAAAUUCACAACUGGAGAAAGAAUCCCAAACUUCAUAAUAACUCUGUAGUUUCCUGAGUGCUUAUUGUGUGCCAAGUACAGGGCAUUUUAGUACAUUAGCUGAUGUCUUCUCAUCCAUAGUGAAGAGACGAAGGCGCCUUGGAGAGUCAGGCCUGGCUGCUUGCUGUGACCGUGCUCCUGACCUGUUCUCUUGUUCCCCCUUGUUCAGUCCCAGGGACAGGGUGGUUUUUAUUAUCUUUAAAGACCUAAGAGAUCUUGGGGCCCUGACUUUGAUGGAUGGCAUUUGGCCUAUUUUAAUUACAAAAACUUAUCAAAUGUUAACAUAAAUUACCUGUGUCUAGUGGGUUCAUAGCCCCAAAUAGUGUCGUUUGGGGUCUUAAAGUGUGUUGAACUGAUUUUGAUGUGUUUAUAAGAGACAUUAUCACUGUUUGAAAAACCCGAUAGUGCUCUUUCCUCCCUGAUUUCUAAUUCUGGCAUCUAGAAUGCAGCUGAGACAAGAGCACGUCUGUGAGACAAACAGAGAUCUCAUGAGAGCUCAUGGAUUAACUUUUUUCCACCACAGCAGCAGGUUUUUCUUAAAGCGUUGUUUGAAAAUUAACAUUACUGAAAAUUUAAGCCUACCUAAAGGGAUUCUAGUUUUGAUCUCAAUUAUAAAAAGUAGGAAGACAUUUCAUAAAAAUCUGUGUCCCCUUAGCACUAGAAUGCUUUGGCUGUGAGUGGGAUAAGCUAGAAGUAAGCUGCCUUUGAUAGACGUGAGCGGUGUGUGAUAACUGUCUCUAUCUAUUCAACUACUUCCUGUUCAAUCUCACAUCGCAGCUGGAAAGCAAUUUCCUCACUUGACCCAUUUUUCUUCUGUAUUGUGUCUUUCUUCUGGUUCUUUAACAAAUAGUUUGAAGGAAUGGAGUGUCGUAAAGCCUUACACACUUGUAAGGUGAGGCAAUUCAGGCACCUGCUUUGGAAUAAGCAUACUCUCUUGUGUUUCAUUAUUUGGCUCCCUGGUUGGGCGGAUAACAGUUUUGCUCCUUUACUUUCAUGUCACUGUUUUCAGAAGAGAGAGAUUUUAAAGCUUGAAAAUGGUAGGCAUUUGAGUAAAGACAAAAACAGGUGUAUGGGGGUAAGGAUCUUGUUUUAGUAACAUGGACAAUUUAUGAAUGUUAUAAUUUUAGUAAGCAUAUAUGCAGUAAGUCUAGCAUUAAUAGAUCCACAUUGUAAAAUGCCUGUUUAUCCAAAGACGGAGGUCUCUUGGUAUCAUUGGCUUGUUACUGUUAAUGCCACCCUUAGUCACAGGUAUGACGUUAUCAUGUGAUAACUUUUGUCCCACACCCAUGGCUUAUAGAGUGCUUGGGUUGCCUUCUCUUUUUGCCAGAUCAAAUUCUAAAUGUCCUAACACACCGAACAUAACGCCAGUCUCCUUCUUGAAACCAUCUCUGACUUUACGUGUAUAAGCUCUCUCUUUUCUGUUUCUGCUCACACCUUUGGGGACCUCACUUAGCCCUGUGACUUUAAAUUUACCACACAUACCCUGAAGACUCCUAGGUUUUUGCUUGUUUUGUGAGGGGGUUUUUUGGCCAGCCUGGACUGCAUAGAUAUUUGCAUAUCUAGUUGCCUUCUCACCACCUGCACAGGACUGUUUAGUGAGCAUUUCCAGCCCACAGGGCCAGACCUGGCCCUGCUCUUGCCCCAGGACCACUCUGCCUGCACUCCUCUCUGUCUUCCUCGAGAGCGCUUACCCCCUUCUGGUCGCUCCAGUCUAAACCCUAGAGUCUUCCUUGGCUCCCUCUUUCUUUCCAUGUACAGUACAUAAGAAACUAAGAGAUUUCUAAGUGAUCCAUGGGUCAAAGAAGAGAAAUACUUGGAACUAAAUUUAAAAAACCAAAUACAACAUAUCAGAAAUCAUAUGAUGCUGCUAAGCUGUGCUAAGAGGGAAAUUUAUGGCAUUAAAUGUCUCUAUUGGAAAAGGAGAACGAUCUCAGAUCAGUAAUUUAAGCGUUUAUCUUAUUCCAAAAAGUGAAGAACAAACUAAACCCAAUAGCAAGUAAAAAGAAGGAGAUAAAGGUUAGAGUGGAAGUCGGUGACGUAGAAACAGAAAGCAGUAGAAAGGAUCAAUAGAACCAAAAUUAAUUGGUUAAUUGAAAAUUAAUUUCAGCCGGUUAAUUGAAGAUAUCAGCAAAAUUGACAAACCUGUAGCUAGAUUGACCAAGAAAAAGAGAGAAGAUACAAGGUACCAAAAUCAAGAAUGAAGAGGGGCGUUGAGUAUUGAUCUUACAGAAAUUAAGUUGAUAGUCUGAAUAACUUUGUACCAACAAGUUAGAUAGCUUAUAUGAAAUGGACAAAAUUCUAGAAAUAGGCAAAUUGCCAAAACUGACUCAAGAAAAAUGAAAAGUCUGAAUAGACAUAUAAUGAGUAAAGAAAUUGAAUUGAUAAUUAACAAUUUUGCCACAAAGAAAAGCCCAAGUUAUUUUGGCUUCAGUGGUAAAUUCUGUCAGACAUAUAAA